GACGAACGCUGGCGGCGUGCCUAAUACAUGCAAGUUGAGCGCUGAAGGUUGGUACUUGUGCCAACUGGAUGAGCAGCGAACGGGUGAGUAACGCGUGGGGAAUCUGCCUUUGAGCGGGGGACAACAUUUGGAAACGAAUGCUAAUACCGCAUAAAAACUUUAAACACAAGUUUUAAGUUUGAAAGAUGCAAUUGCAUCACUCAAAGAUGAUCCCGCGUUGUAUUAGCUAGUUGGUGAGGUAAAGGCUCACCAAGGCGAUGAUACAUAGCCGACCUGAGAGGGUGAUCGGCCACAUUGGGACUGAGACACGGCCCAAACUCCUACGGGAGGCAGCAGUAGGGAAUCUUCGGCAAUGGACGAAAGUCUGACCGAGCAACGCCGCGUGAGUGAAGAAGGUUUUCGGAUCGUAAAACUCUGUUGGUAGAGAAGAACGUUGGUGAGAGUGGAAAGCUCAUCAAGUGACGGUAACUACCCAGAAGGGGACGGCUAACUACGUG
rnacentral:rRNA from 1 species